AAACGAUGAAUGUUAGCCGUCGGGCAGUUUACUGUUCGGUGGCGCAGCUAACGCAUUAAACAUUCCGCCUGGGGAGUACGGUCGCAAGAUUAAAACUCAAAGGAAUUGACGGGGGGCCCGCACAAGCGGUGUGAGCAUGUGGUUUAAUUCGAAGCAACGCGCAGAACCUUACCAGCCCUUGACAUCCCGAUCGCGGUUUCCAGAGAUGGAUUCCUUCAGUUCGGCUGGAUCGGUGACAGGUGCUGCAUGGCUGUCGUCAGCUCGUGUCGUGACGAUGUUGGUUAAGUCCCGCAACGAGCGCAACCUUCGCCCUUAGUUGCCAGCAUUAAGUUGGGCACUCUAAGGGGACUGCCGGUGAUAAGCCGCGAGGAAGGUGAAGAUGACGUCAAGUCCUCAUGGCCCUUACGGGCUGGGCUACACACGUGCUACAAUGGUGGUGACAGUGGGCAGCGAGACGGCAACGUCGAGCUAAUCUCCAAAAACCAUCUCAGUUCGGAUUGGGGUCUGCAACUCGACCCCAUGAAGUUGGAAUCGCUAGUAAUCGCGGAUCAGCAUGCCGCGGUGAAUACGUUCCCGGCCUUGUACACACCGCCCGUCACACCAUGGGAGUUGGUUCUACCCGAAGGCGAUGCGCUAACCCGCAAGGGAGGCAGUCGACCACGGUAGGGUCAGCGACUGGGGUGAAGUCGUAACAAGGUAGCCGUAGGGGAACCUGCGGCUGGAUCACCUCCUUU
rnacentral:ncRNA from 1 species